rnacentral:rRNA from 1 species
ACGGAAGGCAGCAGUGAGGAAUAUUGGUCAAUGGGCGGAAGCCUGAACCAGCCAAGUCGCGUGAAGGAUGAAGGUAUUAUGUAUUGUAAACUUCUUUAGCAGCAGAGUAAUAAGGGGGUCGUGACCCCCGAUGCAAGUAUGCUGAAAAUAAGGAUCGGCUAACUCCGUGCCAGCAGCCGCGGUAAUACGGAGGAUCCGAGCGUUAUCCGGAUUUAUUGGGUUUAAAGGGUGCGCAGGCGGUUUUUUAAGUCAGUGGUUAAAUCGUGAGGCUCAACCUCAUCACGCCAUUGAUACUGGAAGACUUGAUUGCGGUUGAGGUUGGCGGAAUUCGUCGUGUAGCGGUGAAAUGCAUAGAUAUGACGAAGAACACCGAUUGCGUAGGCAGCUGACCAAGCCGUAAAUGACGCUCAUGCACGAAAGUGCGGGGAUCGGACAGGAUUAGAUACCCUGGUA